rnacentral:rRNA from 1 species
GGGGGUUAGUAAGGGCAAAUGGUGGAUGCCUUGGGACAUAGAGGCGACGAAGGACGUGAUUACCUGCGAUAAGCUUCGGGGAACUGGAAAUAAGUUUUGAUCCGAAGAUUUCCGAAUGGGGAAACCCAGCACAUUAGUGCUAUCUUAAAGUGAAUACAUAGCUUUAAGAAGUUAUACCUGGUGAACUGAAACAUCUAAGUAACCAGAGGAAAAGAAAGCGAAUGCGAUUCCCUUAGUAGCGGCGAGCGAAAAGGGAUCAGCCCAAACCAUAUGCUUGCAUAUGGGGUUCGGACUGCUUACACGGAGUUACAAAAUUAUAUUUUAGUAGAAGUUAGUUGGAAAACUAUGCCACAGAGGGUGAAAGCCCCGUAAACGAAAAGAUAUAAUCUCUUAGCAGCAUCCAGAGUAAGGCGGGACACGAGAAAUCCUGUCUGAAGACGCGCCGACCACGGCGUAAGGCUAAAUACUACUAUGUCACCGAUAGCGAACUAGUACCGUGAGGGAAAGGUGAAAAGAACCCCGGGAGGGGAGUGAAAUAGAUUCUGAAACCAUUAUGCCUACAAAAAGUCGGAGCCCGUUAAUGGGUGACGGCGUGCCUUUUGCAGAAUGAGCCGGCGAGUUAUGAUAGCAUGCAAGGUUAAGUUUAAUCGAAGCCGUAGGGAAACCGAGUCUGAAUAGGGCGUUUAGUAUGUUGUCAUAGACCCGAAACCAGGUGAGCUAGCCAUGAGCAGGUUGAAGUUGGGAUAACACCCAAUGGAGGACCGAACCGAUGUACGCUGAAAAGUGCUCGGAUGACUUGUGGCUAGAGGUGAAAUUCCUAUCGAACCUGGAGAUAGCUGGUUCUCCCCGAAAUAGUUUUAAGACUAGCGUUGAGAUUAGAGCACUAUGAAGGUAGAGCACUGACUGUGGAAUGGCCUCAUCUCGAGGUACUGACUAUAAUCAAACUCCGAAUGUCAUAGUGUAUGCUCAGCAGUCAGUACAUGGGUGAUAACGUCCAUGCACGCGAGGGAAACAACCCAGAUCAUCAAUUAAGGCCCCAAAAUCUAUACUAAGUGGGAAACGAUGUGGAUUUACUUAAACAGCUAGUAUGUUGGCUUAGAGGCAGCCAUCAUUUAAAGAGUGCGUAACAGCUCACUAGUCAAGUGAAUCUGCGCGGAAAAUUUAACGGGGCUAAAGUAUAGUGCCGAAAUUAUGGGUUUGUAGCAAUACAAGCGGUAGGGGAGCGUUCCAACAGCAUUGAAGGAAGAUCGUGAGGACUUCUGGAGUGGUUGGAAGUGAGAAUGCCGGCGUGAGUAGCGUAAGAGGGUGAGAAUCCCUCUCGCCGAUUGGGGAAGGUUUUCUGGGCAAGGAUCGUCCACCCAGAGUUAGUCGGGACCUAAGGUGAGGCCGAAAGGCGUAAUCGAUGGACAACUGGUUGAUAUUCCAGUACCGAUAUAUUGAGUGAUGGUAUGACAAAGCAGGCUAGGGUGAGCAGACGGAUGGAAGUGUCUGUUCAAGCAGGAAGGUGGUCAUGUAGGCAAAUCCGUAUGGCUUAACACUGAUCUGUUACGGGGAGUGAACGUUUAAUAUAAGUAACGAAGCACCUGACGCCAAACUUUCAAGAAAAGUAUCUAACAACAUUUAAAUGUAAAUCAAUAUAUUGCCCGUACCGAGAACGGACACACGUCCCCAAGGAGAGUAUCCUAAGGCGCGCGAGAUAAUAGUAGUUAAGGAACUCUGCAAACUAACCCUGUAAGUUCGCGAGAAAGGGUGCUCAUCUAGGUGAGUCGCAGUGAAGAGUCCGGGCCAACUGUUUACCAAAAACAUAGCUCUCUGCAAAAGCGUAAGCUGAAGUAUAGGGGGUGACGCCUGCCCAGUGCUGGAAGGUUAAGAGGAUCUGUUAGCAAAUUUAAGUAGCAAAGCAUUGAAUUGAAGCCCCAGUGAACGGCGGCCGUAACUAUAACGGUCCUAAGGUAGCGAAAUUCCUUGUCGGGUAAGUUCCGACCCGCACGAAUGGCGUAACGAUUUCUCCACUGUCUCCAACAUCACUUCAGCGAAAUUGAAUUCUCCGUGCAGAUGCGGAGUACCCGCGGUUAGACGAAGAGACCCCGUGCACCUUUACUAUAGCUUUACAUUGCUAUUAAAAAUGUGAUGUGCAGGAUAGGUGGGAGACUUUGAAGUUAUGGCGCUAGCUGUAAUGGAGUCAACCUUGAGAUACCACCCUUUGCAUUUUUGAUAUCUAACUAUGUUUUAUUAUCUGGAACUAGGACAUUGUAUGGUGGGUAGUUUGACUGGGGCGGUCGCCUCCUAAAGAGUAACGGAGGCGCUCAAAGGUAAUCUCAACAUGGUCGGAUAUCAUGUGUAGAGCGUAAAUGUAUAAGAUUGCUUGACUGCGACACCUACAAGUGGAGCAGGUACGAAAGUAGGAAUUAGUGAUCCGCCGGUUCUGUGUGGAAAGGCCGGCGCUCAUCGGAUAAAAGUUACUCCGGGGAUAACAGGCUAAUCUCUCCCAAGAGUUCAUAUCGACGGGGAGGUUUGGCACCUCGAUGUCGGCUCGUCACAUCCUGGAGCUGGAGUUGGUUCCAAGGGUUGGGCUGUUCGCCCAUUAAAGUGGCACGCGAGCUGGGUUCAGAACGUCGUGAGACAGUUUGGUCCAUAUCUACCGUGGGCGUAGGAAAAUUGAUAAGACCUGUCCUUAGUACGAGAGGACCGGGAUGGACAUACCUCUGGUGCUCCAGUUGUCACGCCAGUGGCAUAGCUGGGUAGCUACGUAUGGAACGGAUAAACGCUGAAAGCAUAUAAGCGUGAAGCCAACUUAAAGAUAAAUUUUCCCUCCGUAAGGGUAAGAUCCCUUGUAGACUACAAGGUUGAUAGGCUGGGUGUGUAAGUGCAGCGUCUCUGCGGUGACACUGGAUUAUACAGACCAAUUUGUACGGU